GAGUUUGAUCCUGGCUCAGGAUGAACGCUAGCGGAGGCCUAACACAUGCAAGCCGAGCGGUAUUGUUUCUUCGGAAAUGAGAGAGCGGCGUACGGGUGCGGAACACGUGUGCAACCUGCCUUUAUCUGGGGGAUAGCCUUUCGAAAGGAAGAUUAAUACUCCAUAAUAUAUUGAACGGCAUCGUUUAAUAUUGAAAGCUCCGGCGGAUAGAGAUGGGCACGCGCAAGAUUAGCUAGUUGGUGAGGUAACGGCUCACCAAGGCAAUGAUCUUUAGGGGCCUGAGAGGGUGAUCCCCCACACUGGUACUGAGACACGGACCAGACUCCUACGGGAGGCAGCAGUGAGGAAUAUUGGUCAAUGGGUGCAAGCCUGAACCAGCCAUCCCGCGUGAAGGACGACUGCCCUAUGGGUUGUAAACUUCUUUUGUAUAGGGAUAAACCUACUCUCGUGAGGGUAGCUGAAGGUACUAUACGAAUAAGCACCGGCUAACUCCGUG
rnacentral:rRNA from 1 species